rnacentral:rRNA from 1 species
CGGGUGAGUACAACAUAGGAAAUCUGCCUUAGGGUGGGGGACGAACAGAGGGAAACUUCUGCUAAUACCCCAUAUGAGCUUGGUUGAAAUACCAAUCUUGAAAGUUCCGGCGCCCUAAGAUGAGCCUGUGCCUGAUUAGCUAGUUGGUGGUGUAAUGGACUACCAAGGCGACGAUCAGUAGCUGGUUUGAGAGGAUGAUCAGCCACAAUGGGACUGAGACACGGCCCAUACUCCUACGGAAGGCAGCAG